rnacentral:rRNA from 1 species
UGGGGAAUAUUGCACAAUGGGCGCAAGCCUGAUCCAGCCAUGCCGCGUGUGUGAAGAAGGCCUUUUGGUUGUAAAGCACUUUAAGCGAGGAGGAGGCUACUUGGAUUAAUACUCUAAGAUAGUGGACGUUACUCGCAGAAUAAGCACCGGCUAACUCUGUGCCAGCAGCCGCGGUAAUACAGAGGGUGCGAGCGUUAAUCGGAUUUACUGGGCGUAAAGCGUGCGUAGGCGGCUUCUUAAGUCGGAUGUGAAAUCCCUGAGCUUAACUUAGGAAUUGCAUUCGAUACUGGGAAGCUAGAGUAUGGGAGAGGAUGGUAGAAUUCCAGGUGUAGCGGUGAAAUGCGUAGAGAUCUGGAGGAAUACCGAUGGCGAAGGCAGCCAUCUGGCCUAAUACUGACGCUGAGGUACGAAAGCAUGGGGAGCAAACAGG